ensembl:rRNA 5S_rRNA 5S ribosomal RNA
CGCCACAGCCAUAUCACCCUGCAGCCCAAGAGCGGUUACUCACUAAGCUAUGCAGGGCUGAGCCUGGUCAAUAGCUGGAUGGGAGACCACACAGGAAAACUAGGUGGCUGUUGGAA